UAGUUUCUCCGGGUCAGGAAAGUUUUCUGGGGAAAAGGACUGGGAAGGAGAGGGCAGCCAGACUCGUUUGUGAACAGCCAGGAGUGGACGCUGAGCCGCUCCGUACCGGAGCUUAAAGUGGGCAUAGUGGGGAACCUGUCUAGCGGGAAGUCAGCCCUGGUGCACCGCUAUCUGACGGGGACCUAUGUCCAGGAGGAGUCCCCUGAAGGGGGGCGGUUUAAGAAGGAGAUUGUGGUGGAUGGCCAGAGUUACCUGCUGCUGAUCCGAGAUGAAGGAGGCCCCCCUGAGCUCCAGUUUGCUGCCUGGGUGGAUGCAGUGGUGUUUGUGUUCAGCCUGGAGGAUGAAAUCAGUUUCCAGACGGUGUACAACUACUUCCUGCGUCUCUGCAGCUUCCGCAACGCCAGCGAGGUGCCCAUGGUGCUUGUGGGCACGCAGGAUGCCAUCAGCGCUGCGAAUCCCCGGGUUAUCGACGACAGCAGAGCCCGCAAGCUCUCCACAGAUCUGAAGCGGUGCACCUACUAUGAGACGUGCGCGACCUACGGGCUCAAUGUGGAGCGUGU
rnacentral:lncRNA from 1 species